CUAACAUGCGUGCGAGUUGACGGGUCCUGAAACUUAGGAUGCGCAUGGAAGCUGACGAGCGAGAGGCCUUCGCGGGCCGCACCGCUGGCCGAUCCUGAUCUUCUGUGAAGGGUUCGAGUUGGAGCACACCUGUCAGGACCCGAAAGAUGGUGAACUAUGCUUGAGCGGGGCGAACCCAGAGGAAAAUCUGGUGGAGGCUCGAAGCGAUACUGACGUGCAAAUCGUUCGUCUGACUUGGGUAUAGGGACGAAAGAAUAAUUGAACCAUCUAGUCGCUGG
rnacentral:rRNA from 1 species